AGAGUUUGAUCCUGGCUCAGAUUGAACGCUGGCGGAAUGCUUUACACAUGCAAGUCGAACGGCAGCACGGGUGCUUGCACCUGGUGGCGAGUGGCGAACGGGUGAGUAAUGCACCGGAACGUAUCCAAUAAUGGGGGAUAACGCACCGAAAGGUGUGCUAAUACCGCAUACGCCCUGAGGGGGAAAGCGGGGGAUCGUAAGACCUCGCGUUAAUGGAGCGGCCGAUGCCGGAUUAGCUAGUUGGUGAGGUAAAGGCUCACCAAGGGCGACGAUCCGUAGCUGGUCUGAGAGGACGACCAGCCACACUGGAACUGAGACACGGUCCAGACUCCUACGGGAGGCAGCAGUGGGGAAUUUUGGACAAUGGGCGCAAGCCUGAUCCAGCCAUUCCGCGUGAGUGAAGAAGGCCUUCGGGUUGUAAAGCUCUUUCAGCAGGAACGAAACGGUGGCCAUUAAUACUGGCUACUAAUGACGGUACCUGAAGAAGAAGCACCGGCUAACUACGUG
rnacentral:rRNA from 1 species